UGGGGAAUAUUGGACAAUGNGCGCAAGCCUGAUCCAGCCAUACCGCGUGGGUGAAGAAGGGCUUCGGGUUGUAAAGCCCUUUUGUUGGGAAAGAAAUCCAGCUGGCUAAUACCCGGUUGGGAUGACGGUACCCAAAGAAUAAGCACCGGCUAACUCGUGCCAACAGCCGCGG
rnacentral:rRNA from 1 species